GUGGCUUUCGUACAAAGGUAGUACCUCAGAUUGUGGAUCUGAAGAUAUGGGUUCGAUUCCCAUAGGUCACA
rnacentral:tRNA from 2 species